CAUAGAAGAGGUGCUGCAUGGGAGCUUACAAAUCACCCCUCAACAAACCGAAACAACAAUGAAGAAGAGGCAUCCCAGCAUGCCUUUCAAGUCGAGAAGAUAUUCUUGAGCACGUUAUGCACACAGCUGUGUGAAAUUCGCCCCGAAGAAGUCGACCUUUGCAAAGUUGAUUCUGCCAAACCAACCGAAAUCAACACUUCCCAGCUCUCCAUCUGCAAGACGGAGACGAGGUAGUCGCAAGGGGCACCGUCCUUCCUUGAUUACAUUUCAUGCCACCAACUUCGGCCCCCUCUCUCAAGACCACGCUGCCAUCCAACCCGGCCCAGACACGACCCUGUCUACAUUGCACCGACGGCGUCGACCGAGACAGCCAACUACUGUCCGGGUGAAGGCGGCAGCAAUGAGGGCGACGACGACGAGACGAGUCCACCUUAGACACAGCAGCCCGGAGCUCUGCUCUCCACUGCUUUUAUUCACCUCGGCGCAGCUUGGCUCCGCCCUAGCCUCCCUUCU